rnacentral:rRNA from 1 species
GACGAACGCUGGCGGCGUGCUUAACACAUGCAAGUCGAACGGAAAGGCCUCAGCUUGCUGGGGUACUCGAGUGGCGAACGGGUGAGUAACACGUGGGUGAUCUGCCUUGCACUCUGGGAUAAGCUUGGGAAACUGGGUCUAGUACCGGAUAUGAACUGCCUUUAGUGUGGUGGUUGGAAAGUUUUUUCGGUGCAAGAUGAGCUCGCGGCCUAUCAGCUUGUUGGUGGGGUAAUGGCCUACCAAGGCGUCGACGGGUAGCCGGCCUGAGAGGGUGUACGGCCACAUUGGGACUGAGAUACGGCCCAGACUCCUACGGGAGGCAGCAGUGGGGAAUAUUGCACAAUGGGCGGAAGCCUGAUGCAGCGACGCCGCGUGGGGGAUGACGGCCUUCGGGUUGUAAACUCCUUUCGACAGGGACGAAGCUUUUUGUGACGGUACCUGUAUAAGAAGCACCGGCUAACUACGUG